rnacentral:lncRNA from 1 species
AGUCGGUGCACGUCAGAUGCUGCUGCAGGGUCUGUGUGAUUUGGCUGGCUGUUUGAAGCGUGUAUCGUGGUUUCUGUUGGAAAGCGAGUUAUCCUCAGAAAGUCCACAUGGAGCCGGGAGAUAAAACACAAAACAGCCCAGGGCUACAAGUCCCCGGUGAGUGCACAGGUCUAAGGAGCGGCCUCCAGCUGCUCUGCGAACUUCCCUAACAGAUUUCAGCCACCCAGAGAGCACCAAGGUGAGGACGAUGGGAGAAGACCACGUGGCAAGAAGACUCAAGGGGCCUCCACCUGACAACCCAUUGGCAGCUGUCACUAGGCACGAGACCCCUCCCCAGUCGAACUUCGGAUGGGACUUUAAUUCUACCCAAAACUGGAUUUAAGGCCUGCCAGGAGGUGCUGACUCGUGUUGUUUCAAGGCCCUAAAUGGGUGGUCAUUUGUUAUGUGGCAAAACAUCUUUAAUACAGCGGAGUAUCGAGUACCU